rnacentral:lncRNA from 1 species
AAGAACUCUGUCAAUAGUGCACUUAAUGUUUGACAAUGUCUCACAAUGUCACUAAAGCACUACAGAGAUGCUGCCAACCCUGAUUACACAUACUCUCCACAAUUUAAGGUCACAGAAGAAGCCAGCAGGAUAAGAUAAGCCCAAAAGUCUGCCAGGAACCUGUGGCUCAGGUCAAUCUCAGAAGAACCUGUUCCUCCAUGGCAUGCCACCUGUCUGUGAAAGGCACAGUAAGAAGGCAUCAGGACCCAAUAGGAGGCAUGAGGUUAUCAAGAUUCAUGGGGUGCCAGAAAGUAAGCAUUUCCCAACCUGUGAGGAGAUGGACGAACCUGAAGAGGAAAAUGAGUAAACAUGGGUGGUAGUCACUGUGUGCCAGAAGAGGAUUCCAUUGUGGAUGCAGGGGCUUUGAACUUGGAUAGUAGGCAAGUGUGCAG